rnacentral:tRNA from 1 species
GCAGUGGUGGUUAAGCGGUAGAAUUCUCGCCUUGCAUGUGGGAGACCCAGGUUCAAUUCCUAGCUAAUGUA